AUUGGCCACGGGCAUCCGGCGCAUGCGCACUUGUCUACCUUACGUUCUGGCCACGCCUUAGGUUCCCAGGCCACCCACUUUUGGUUCCACUAUGGUCACGCGUCUGCUGCCAGUUCCACGCCCUCUGCGCUCCUUUUAGGUGAAUGGAGCCUACAUAUGCUCACAUAUUGAUAUAAAUCUAGUG
rnacentral:lncRNA from 1 species